rnacentral:ribozyme from 1 species
GAAGAGAAAUAGAAAAAAAGUUGUUGUUUUUUUGUAUGUUUUUUUUUUCCAUUUCCCUUCUCU